AAAAUAACAAUGAUUUCCCUAGUAACGGCGAGUGAAGAGGAAAGAGCUCAAAGUUGGAACCUGUUUGGCCUAGCUAAACCGGAUUGUAGACUGUAGAAGUGUUUUCCAGGCAAGCCGAGUAAAUAAGUCCUUUGGAACAGGGCAUCAUAGAGGGUGAGAAUCCCGUCUUUGGCUUGAGCAUUUGCCUUUUGUGAUACGCUUUCAAAGAGUCAGGUUGUUUGGGAAUGCAGCCUAAAUUGGGUGGUAAAUCUCACCUAAAGCUAAAUAUUGGCGAGAAACCGAUAGCGAACAAGUACCGUGAGGGAAAGAUGAAAAGAACAUUGAAAAGAGAGUUAAACAGUAUGUGAAAUUGUUAAAAGGGAACCGUUUGGAGCCAGACUGGCUUGUCUGUAAUCAAUCUAGGCUUCGGCCUGGAUGCACUUGCAGGCUAUGCCUGCCAACGACAAUUUGACUUGAGGGAAAAAACUAGGGGAAAUGUGGCCCACUUGUGGGUGUUAUAGUCCCUUAGAAAAUACCUUGGGUUGGAUUGAGGAACGCAGCGAAUGCUUAUUGGCGAGUUUUCCAGGAAGGUUUUCUGAGGUACUACGGUAUCAAGGUUGAUCUUUUUGGUUAUACUUCUAUUCGCUUAGGUUGUUGGCUUAAUGACUCUAAAUGAC
rnacentral:rRNA from 1 species